AGAGCGAACGCUGGCGGCAGGCCUAACACAUGCAAGUCGAGCGCCCGUAGCAAUACGGGAGCGGCAGACGGGAUAGUAACACGUGGGAACGCGCCCUUCGGUUCGGAAUAACUCAGGGAAACUUGAGCUAAUACCGAAUACGCCCUUACGGGGAAAGAUUUAUUGCCGAAGGAACGGCCCGCGUCCGAUUAGCUAGUUGGUGAGGUAAUGGCUCACCAAGGCUACGAUCGGUAGCUGGUCUGAGAGGAUGACCAGCAUCACUGGGACUGAGACACGGCCCAGACUCCUACGGGAGGCAGCAGUGGGGAAUAUGGACAAUGGGCGCAAGCCUGAUCCAGCCAUGCCGCGUGGAUGAUGAAGGCCUUAGGGUUGUAAAGUCCGUUUUAACGGGGAAGUAGUAAUGACGGUACCCGUAGAAUAAGCCCCGGCUAACUUCGCGCCAGCAGCCGC
rnacentral:rRNA from 1 species